rnacentral:rRNA from 1 species
UACGUAGGGGGCAAGCGUUGUCCGGAUUUAUUGGGCGUAAAGAGCGUGUAGGCGGCCAGGGAGGUCCGUUGUGAAAACUCGAGGCUCAACCUCGAGACGCCGAUGGAAACCCCCUGGCUAGAGUCCGGAAGAGGAGAGUGGAAUUCCUGGUGUAGCGGUGAAAUGCGCAGAUAUCAGGAAGAACACCCGUGGCUAAGGCGGCUCUCUGGGCCUUACCUGACGCUGAGGAGCGAAAGCGUGGGGAGCGAACAGG